rnacentral:rRNA from 1 species
GACGUAGGGCGCGAGCGUUGUCCGGAUUUAUUGGGCGUAAAGAGCUCGUAGGCGGUUUGUCGCGUCUGCUGUGAAAAUCCGGGCUCAACCCCGGACUUGCAGUGGGUACGGCAGACUAGAGUGUGGUAGGGAGACUGGAAUUCCUGGUGUAGCGGUGAAUGCGCAGAUAUCAGGAGGAACACCGAUGGCGAAGGCAGGUCUCUGGCCACUACUGACGCUGAGAAGCGAAAGCAUGGGAGCGAACAGG